rnacentral:rRNA from 1 species
GAUGAACGCUAGCGGCAGGCCUAACACAUGCAAGUCGAGGGGCAUCAUGGCGUAGCAAUACGCUGAUGGCGACCGGCGCACGGGUGCGUAACGCGUAUGGAACCUACCCACCGCAGGGGGAUAACCCGCCGAAAGGCGGACUAAUACCCCAUGGUUCCCCGACCCUGCCUGGGGUUGGGGGUAAAGCCUACGGGCGGCGGUGGAUGGCCCUGCGUGCCAUUAGCUGGCUGGUGGGGUAACGGCCCACCAGGGCGACGAUGGCUAGGGGGUCUGAGAGGACGAUCCCCCACACUGGUACUGAGACACGGACCAGACUCCUACGGGAGGCAGCAGUGAGGAAUAUUGGUCAAUGGGCGGAAGCCUGAACCAGCCAUGCCGCGUGCAGGAUGACGGCCCUACGGGUUGUAAACUGCUUUUCCCGGGGCGAAUAACCCCUCGCGAGGGGAGUGGCGGUACCGGGGACGUAAGGAGUCGGCUAACGUCCGUCG